rnacentral:rRNA from 1 species
UACGAAGGGUGCAAGCGUUACUCGGAAUUACUGGGCGUAAAGCGUGCGUAGGCGGUUUGUUAAGUCCGUUGUGAAAGCCCUGGGCUCAACCUGGGAAUUGCAGUGGAUACUGGCGAGCUAGAGUGCGGUAGAGGAUGGUGGAAUUCCCGGUGUAGCGGUGAAAUGCGUAGAGAUCGGGAGGAACACCCGUGGCGAAGGCGGCCAUCUGGACCAGCACUGACGCUGAGGCACGAAAGCGUGGGGAGCGAAAGGG